UCUUUUUUCGCAGGGACAGCUUCAGGAAGGACUCCAACAUCAAGCAUGUCUCCAUGGUUGGCAAGGGCGGUGGUGAGAAGUGGAAGUAUCUUGAGUGAUGUUGAGAAGGCUCCCUAAUUGCCAAGGCCAAGUACACCAAGAAGAUCGACACCUACAACAACCCACUGGUAUAACAUUCACGUC